UACGGAGGUUCCAAGCGUUGUUCGGAAUUACUGGGCGUAAAGGGAGCGCAGGCGGAUAGGUCAGUUUAAAGUGGAAUCCCAGGGCUCAACCCUGGACGUGCUUUGGAUACUGCCUAUCUUGAGUUCGUGAGAGGAAAGUGGAAUUCAGGGUGUAGCGGUGAAAUGCUUAGAUAUCCUGAGGAACACCAGUGGCGAAAGCGACUUUCUGGCACGAAACUGACGCUGAGGCUCGAAAGCGUGGGUAGCGAACGGG
rnacentral:rRNA from 1 species